CGGCCGCAGAUCCCGGCAACUUGCGAACCGGGAAAAGUUUGCGGCGCCUCCGCGGGGCGGCGCGACGCGGCCCGCCCCUCGCGUCCGCGGUCAUCGCGGGUGACUUUCUCGACUCGUCGUCAGCCGGGGCCGCAGCGCGGCCGGUGGGGACUGCGGGGCGGGCCGGAGUCCGUCCGAGGGCUCCCGCACCUCGGGCUGCGGGAACAUUAAAAUCUCCCCAGAUGCUCACUGCUCUGAUCAUUUCCCCUACAGCACCAGACAUGUUGGCAUCAUCUCUUAGUUGGGCCAUGUGGCCAGGGAACCCUUCAUGAAACCACCUCUGCAGUCCUGGAGAGUUGCUGUAGAAGAAGGAAAAGAGAGGAAGACAACACAACACAGGAGGGGAUAAGUACCUCUGGACACAAUGGAAGUAGUAGUUGUUGAGCAGAGGGAAAGGGAUAGGAGAAGGAUGUGGACUGCAGUGCUGCAGUGCCAGGUAAUAACUUUGAUCAUGUACCUCCUUGGCUCAGGUGCUGUCUCUUCUACUCUCCUCCUUACUUGUACUACCUUAUUUAGCACUUAAUUAUAUACUUUCUUGACUCACUUUGAGACACACUGAUUAUGUGGUCUGCCUCAAAGACAGAAUCCUAGUUUUGGAUUUUAGCAUUACUGAUCUAUAGCCUUGCAGGGGCUUAAGGAUGGCAGCUGUCUCUCUCCCUUGGGAUCUAGCUUUUGCAAAUAUUGAAGGGAAGAGAUUUCUUUGAUCUUAUAGGAAUAGAUCCACAGUUCCUCUCCAGAUUUGCUUUUAUAGAGAAGUGUGUGUCACCAAAACAAUGGAGAUACGGUCAGAGAGGCCCCUACCCCCAGAAUUUUAAUAUAAUUUUACUUUCUGGGGCAUUUAUUCUUGACAAAUACUUUCUCUCCUAUCAGCUCACUUGUUCCUCACAAAAACCCUAUAAGAUAUUAAUAUUAUUAAACAGACCCCUAUGAAGCACCUCAAGUCUUUCUCUCUUCCCACUUCCAUUCUUGCACACCUUUUGCUAGACUAGUCUCUGCGUUCAUCACAUCAGGUUUCUAAAAUAAAAGUCCCCUAAUAACUUUCUAUUUGUUCUCUCAUCAUAUUGAACCUUUUUUGCCUGGCUUAUAAGGUGGCCUUAAAACCCCAUUUUCCUCUAAACAUUGUCUCUGUAGUUCAGGAAUAUGGCAGGCUCAACACUAUGCUUGAGCCCAUAUUGCUUCCCUCAUUAGUGAUGCCUCCUCUCAGACCACCCAGAUUCUACUCAUUCUUCAAUUUCCAGCUUCUCCUUGGAGCCUUCCCAGAUCAUUAGCUUCUUAAAAAUCCCAGCUUUCUCUGAAUUCUGAUGGUAGCCCCCGUUAUUUGGACAAUUAUGUCCUGGUCUUAAAGUCCUAAUGGGAAAAAAAAGUACAUGAUGGACUUCAUGUAGAGAAGAAAGCACUGGACUGAGUUUUAAGACAGCUGCUAAGGAGCUGUGUGAGCCAAACCAGGUUACUUUACCUCUCUGGAUCUAUAUUUGCUGAUCUGUUAAGUGGAGACAAUUGGGUCAGAUAAUCUUGGUGGUC
ensembl:lncRNA LINC00472 long intergenic non-protein coding RNA 472